AUAGUACCCAUGAUUUCUUUCAAGCUGCUCACCAUAAUUAUUGUUGGUACCAAGAAAUGGUUUAUCCAAGUGGUACUAGACACGAAUCCCUUAAGCAUGUAGUAAAGGGUUUGAAUCCUGACGAAUGCAUAUAUGGAGAAAAUCUUGUUGAGAGGGAGAUCCCACUUAUGAGUGCCAACAGGUCCCUUGGAGGAUAUUAAAAUCCCCUUGGCCGGAAGCAGAUAUACUUAUUUGCAAUCGUAUGCAACAACAACAAUUAUUGUUGAGAAGUCUUACAGUCAUUGCGAAUAGCCAAUUAGCCGCCAACAAAAUGAUGUUAUUUUAAGAGUUUAUUCUUCUGUGAAAUCAUUUUAAGAUUUGUGAUAUAUGCUAUUGUUUUGCCAUUAUUUUCAUUUCAUUUUUACCUUCUGCAGACAAGAUUUUGCAAGAAAUUGAUGCUGUAUCCUACAGAUUGCUUGGCUAACUUCUUUUUGGCACUAUCAGAAUAUUCUAUAAAAAGGUUGAAUAUGUGCUUGAAGAUUGUAAUGAGGUUCUCGUCAAAAUCAACAAAUUUGUGGUCAACAAAGAAGGCUUAGUAUGUGUGGAAACGUUGUGUAUGCCUGUUACUAAACCAGAAAGAUUUGAGUUGGAUGCUUUUGAGUUAGAUGAACCUGAAGAUGCUGGCAGGUAUAUAGUUAGAAAGAGCAUAAAGAGUGCAAAAGACAUAGUUCGUUUCCCUUUCCAACAGGAUGCCACCAUACUUUACUUAUUGCACACUGUGUACAGAGGCAGAGAGAAUCUCCCAUUACUUACUGUGCACUAUGUUGCCUUGAAAUUGUGGAAACUCCAAGGAUGUUUGAUGUACCUGAAUCUCAGGAUUUUGACAUUCCAAUUUUUAUUGAGAUAAAAUCCUUUUGGAAUCUCCCGAAACAAAUGAAGUGCCUCAUUUGAUGGAUGAGGAAACAAAUUCAUGUGGAACUAUAUAACCAAUCAGAAUUAUUAGCUGGCUUUGGAAAGUUGUCAGUUUGAUUAUUGCUUACAAGAUUGGCUUAUGAUGGUCUUCUUUAAUGAUGUACCGGAAAGUUGCAAGUUGCCUACUUCAGAGUUUUCUGUGUGCAAGAAAACAAAGAGAGGAGGACAUUGUAAACUUUUCACAAGUUUUUGUAGGCCAGGCACGGAAAGAAUCUGCACUGCUAUUUAAUGAAAAGAUUGGUGACUUCUGUAAAAAAAAAAAAGUUUGGUGACUAAUUUUCUUAUGGCAGUGAUGCAGAAACUUGAGUUAUGUUUUCUUGUCUUACUACUCUGCUUUUUCUGUAGAUGACAUACUUUGUUAAAGGAUGAAAAUUUGUUCUUCGUAACUAUCAAUUCUACUUUUAUCUGAGUGAUGAUAACAGGAAAAUGUGGAAUUGUCGUUGUCCAGUCGGUUUGUUUGUCAAACAAUAGUGAUGUACUUCUAUAACUUUUUUUAGGGUGAUCGAUGCCCUUUCAGUUAAUGGAUCAACUUUGUCUGAUUGGAAUAUAAGUAUAUCAAUCUCCAAUGCAACGUG